rnacentral:rRNA from 1 species
GCCAGCCCGCUCAGAAACUUAAAGGAAUUGACGGGGCCCGCACAAGCGGAGGAGCAUGUGGUUAAUUCGAUGAUACGCGAGGAACCUUACCUGGGCUCGAACGUAAGAUGACUGUAGGUGAAAGCUUACAUCUCUUCGGAGCAUUUUACGAGGUGCUGCAUGGUUGUCGUCAGCUCGUGCCGUGAGGUGUCGGGUUAAGUCCCAUAACGAGCGCAACCCCUACCUUUAGUUGCCAUCAGGUUAAGCUGGGGACUCUAAAGGAACUGCCUACGCAAGUAGUGAGGAAGGCGGGGAUGACGUCAAAUCAGCACGGCCCUUACGUCCAGGGCUACACACGUGCUACAAUGGCCGAUACAGAGGGCAGCUACCUGGUGACAGGAUGCAAAUCUCCAAAGUCGGUCUCAGUUCGGAUCGGAGUCUGCAACCCGACUCCGUGAAGUUGGAUUCGCUAGUAAUCGCGCAUCAGCCAUGGCGCGGUGAAUACGUUCCCGGGCCUU